UUUCAGUCAUGCCAUUGUGAUUACAGGAAGAGAGAGAGGCACUGAAUGACCCUAUCCCCAGUUCAAAUUUAGUCGUUACAACCCUUGAAGAAUGAAGAUGCAGGCAGAAUAGUUGAGGAAGAAAGAAAAGAUGAGACACCUAUGCCUUCUGUUCCCGCCACAGCGGAUCCACCAGGAUGAGUGAUUCGCACGAGAAACGGAGCAAGCUAGACGACUCCCAACCGUCGCACAACCUGAGUAAAGCACUAUGCAUCCAGAUAGAGGUGUACAGGGACGGUGAGAUCUCUUUUGGGGACUCAAUGGAUGGCACCAUCGGCCUGUUGUUGGAAGCGGAGGCGCAGGGGCUCGGGGCGCGGGUCCGUGCUAUAACGGUGCUACUAUUUAGCAGUCGAUCAUUCACAUACACUGCAGCACGUUAAUGAAAUGUCGUUUUCAACCCACGCUUAUUAUGCAAGAAACACAAUCGCAACGACAAAACCUAAAAAAAUAAAGCAAUACGAAAAGUUGCAGACAACUCGAAGGAUUAUCGUUAAAGUAUAUUAAUGUAAUAAUAUUUGCAUCAUGAGAAAUUAUUAAUGCCCUCCUCCGCUUCUAACUUUUUUUUGUGCAGAGGUCGAAGUCUAUUCCGACGUUAACAUUCUUCAUUCUGACAGCGAGGAGAGCGACGGAGAGAGAGAUCAUGAGUAUGAGGAACUCUUUGAAUCGCCCCAGCGCCCAUGGCGCACGACCUGCCUCUAUUCAUCUAGCGUUGAGAGUUCACUUAUUACUUCACACGACCGGUGUAAACACCGGUGUAAUUUUAAAAGUUAAAAAAAAAAUUAAAAGAAUAAAAUAAAGAGAUAAAUUACACGAUAUACGAUUUUCUCGGCCAGGGAGGUCUCCCCGCAAGAAAUUGUUCACCACCCGCCCGCGUCGGGAGCGCCGCAGCGUGCUGCAGCUGCCAGCACGAAAAGCGCACUGACGCAAACAAACCUAAGUGGCUACUUCACGCAUUGCGCAAUGCUUGAGGUAUCCCAUUACGUUUGUAGGCGUCAGUGUGCAUUUUGAGCUGGCAGCGGCAGCACGCCGCACAUUGGGACGAGCCCAUUAUAGAAACGGGACAUCUACGGUAAAAAUGAAAAUCAUUAAAAGCAAAAACGGAAGGUACAGAAGUUACCUGGAGGGUCUAAACUUCCAGAAUAACGAAGGUUUUAACAAUUUAAUUGAAGAAUAUCCAAAUGACAGGCCUAGAGAAACGCGCGUUUCGGGAAGAUGAAAAAAAAGAGGUGAAAGCGCACGUAUACGAAUGUUGCUCCCCUGACUUUCUAGAUCUAAAGUCGAAUUUCCUUCAUGAUAAAUGAAUUCUUUACGGUGUGAAUUACCCCGACAAGAUAUGCAUGUCUAUAAAUAUUUAUGUAUUUUUCUAUUUAUAUUCAUAUUUAUAUAUUAGUUUUGUAAUAAUUAAACAUGUUGUAUUUGAAA